UCAGAGAAGGUGACAGUGAUCCACU
rnacentral:piRNA from 1 species